rnacentral:lncRNA from 1 species
UGGGAAUAAUGUCACCAAUAGCAUAAGAAUUAAUGUCUACUAUGAUGCUGAAAUAAAUAAACUGGUAAAACUACUCUGCUGUCUAAAUCCCCAAGUUACAAAUUUACAGAGCUGCCGGCUUCCCCUUGAAGGAAUAGGAGUAGACCUGCUGAACUAUCACAUGAGAGAAGAGGCCCAAAAGCUUGCACACUACAGUCAAGCUGGCCCUUAAAGAGAUGGACCUAGAAGAUGCUGAGCCAGAUGUACUCAAUUACUUCUCCAAAAUUCAUCAAUUAGGAAUACAACAUGUUUAAGACCACAGAACAUCUGCAUAGGCUGUAAAUUUCGUUGAAUGAUGGAUGCAAAGAUGGAAGACAGAUGGAUAGAGGAAAAGACAGAAUCAGAUACUGGAUGAGUUAGUACUGCUGCCUGUGCUUCAGAGCUGUCUUAUUACCACAAGGCCGGCAAGCAUCAAUGUCCCCACAUCCCCCUCUGCCUCCCCCUGAAAUGUACCGAUUUAUAUGAAAAUUAAGAUUACAAAUUAAAGCCUGGCUAUCCUGGAGUUUUCCAGUUCAUCAGCCAUCCAAUAAAAAUGAUGUCAAGCCUGUAUGCAUAAUUCCCGGAAGAUUACUUUCGUCCUUACAGCUAAGCCCUGUCCCUGAUAUGAAAGAUCUCUAUCCACUUUUAUUGAAAUAAAGAACUAACAUCAUAAUCCC